rnacentral:rRNA from 1 species
CCGUAGGUGNACCUGCGGAAGGAUCAUUA